AUGGCCGAGACGGCGGCGGCGGCGGCGGCGACGGCCGAGGGGAUCGACCCGCGCAGCGGCUACUGCGCGGCGACGCGCACCUUCCACAGCCUCCGCUCCGCCUCGGCGGGCGCGCUGCCGCCGGAGUCGCUCCCGGUCACGGCCGCGGCCUACGCCUUCUCGCUGCUCGCCUCCCCGCUCCCCGACCGCCCCGCGCUCGUCGACGCCGCCACCGGCAUUGCCGUCUCCUACCCGUCCUUCCUCGCCGCCGUCCGCUCCCUCGCGGGCGGCCUCUGGUCCUCCCUCGGCCUCCGCCCCGGGGACGUCGCCCUCGUCGUCGCGCCCUCGCGCCUCGACGUCCCCGUGCUCCACUUCGCGCUCAUGUCCAUCGGCGCCGUCGUGUCCCCCGCCAACCCGGCAUCCACCCCCGAGGAGUACGCCCACCAGGUCGCCCUCUCCCGCCCCGUCGUCGCCUUCGCCGCCCCCGAGGUCGCCGCCAAGCUGCCGGCCCACGUCAGGUGCGUCGUCCUCGGGUCCGAUGCGUACAGGAGCCUGGCGUCUGCCGGCGCGGGGUCCGCUCCUCCGCCGGUGGCGGUGAAGCAGUCGGACACUGCGGCCGUGCUCUACUCCUCCGGCACGACGGGGCGUGUGAAGGCCGUCGCCAUCACGCACCGCAACCUCAUCGCGCUGAUCUGCGGGCACGCCGAGAACCGGGAGAGGGUGGCGGCGGAGGCCACCGAGGCGGGCGAGGAGCCGCCGCCGCCGGCCGUCACGCUGCUGCCGCUCCCCCUGUUCCACGUCUUCGGGUUCAUGAUGGUCCUUCGCUCCGUGUCCAUGGGGGAGACGGCCGUGCUCAUGGAGCGGUUCGACUUCGGCGCCGCGCUGCGCGCCAUAGAGCGGUACCGCGCCACGCUGCUGCCCGCGGCGCCGCCCGUCCUGGUGGCCAUGAUCAAGUCGGAGGAGGCGCGCCGCCGCGACCUCUCCUCGCUCCUCGUCAUCGGCGUCGGCGGCGCGCCCCUCGGCCGCGAGGUCGCCGAGCGCUUCGUCGCCGUAUUCCCCAACGUCCAGAUUGUUCAGGGCUACGGAUUGACGGAAUCAUCUGGCUCUGUGGCCUCGACGGUAGGGCCGGAGGAGUCCAAGGCGUACGGCUCCGUCGGCAAGCUGGCGUCGCACUUGCAGGCGAAGAUAGUAGAUCCGUCCACCGGCGAGGCGCUCGGGCCGGGCCAGCGCGGUGAGCUCUGGGUCAGGGGCCCACUCGUCAUGAAAGGUUAUGUCGGUGACGACAAAGCAACUGCAGAAACAGUGGACUCAGAAGGCUGGCUGAAAACUGGUGAUCUUUGCUACUUCAAUGAAGAUGGAUUUCUCUACAUUGUUGAUCGUUUGAAGGAGUUGAUAAAGUACAAAGGAUACCAGGUGCCUCCAGCUGAACUAGAGCAUAUUUUAACAUCACAUCCUGGAAUUGCUGAUGCUGCAGUUAUUGGAUAUCCAGAUGAAGAUGUUGGGCAACUGCCAAUGGCUUUUAUAGUGAGGCAACCAGGUUCCAACCUUACUGGGCAACAAGUCAUGGAUUACGUGGCUAAACAUGUUGCGCCCUACAAGAAAAUCCGCCGAGUCGCCUUCGUCAAUGCAAUAACCAAAUCACCUGCCGGAAAGAUCUUGCGGCGGGAGCUUGUGCAGCAGGCCCUGUCGAUGGGUGCCUCCAAGCUUUGA
rnacentral:rRNA from 1 species